CCGGCAACACUCCCACAUCAGUGUGCGGAGGAAACAAUCAACGCUUCAAGCACGGACGUGAAGCUAAUUUUGCCGCUUUAAAGGUAGUUUCGAGCUUAUAAGCGUUCCGUUUAGUCGCGAAUUUCCGUUUUACAUAAAAAUAGUUAUUAAUAAUCUAAAAGUUUAUUUUUAUUGUAAAACCGCAAGAAACCAAAAACUUGAACGUUAUGCUGUUAUGUAUAAGUUAUCUACAUAAACGUAAUUUGUUUUAUUAAGCUGCUUUGUGCUGUGUGGCACAACCCAAUAUAACAGUGCUCCAAGCUCUUAGCACUUACACCAAUUAACGGUCAUAGCUUUGGACACUUUGAACAACUCAGAUUUAUAUAUCCAGUCAUCGCAAGUUAAAUGAAUAUCAAAUGAAGGUAAUACAUAUAGCAGGCGUCCCACAACCUAACCUCAUAAUUUACGCCGUAGUCUGAAAUGCAUAUCAACAAAUAUUCGCCAUGCAUUUCCUACUGGGUUGUUUGCCGCUAUAUACAACGAAAUAUGUUUAUGUACAUACAUACAGAUCUUCAUGUACACAUCUGUGCAAGUAUAUAUGUAUAACCCUCAUCAGCUAAUUGGACUCAACAACCUUGACGUUAGUUCUGCUGCCUCAGUCUGGAUAAGGAGUCUGGCUUUGGUAGUGAAGUUGGACAAGAGAAAAUAUCUUCCAUCCAUCAAACAACAGUCAGCGCAUUCGCGUCUUUGUUCUCACGUCACUGUUGACAGUCAUAACGGUUUUAGAGAACCCUCAUCAGCUAAUUGGACUCAACAACCUUGACGUUAGUUAUGCUGCCUCAGUCUGGAUAAGGAGUCUGGGUUUGGUAGUGAAGUUGGACAAGAGAAAAUAUCUUAUACCAUCAAACAAAAGUCAGCGCAUUCGAGUCUUUGUUCUCACGUCACUGUUGACAGUCAUAACUUUGAUGUUGUAGAUCAUUUUGCCUAUCUUGGAACCCGCAUUAACACCCAUAACUGUGUCAGCCUUGAAAUCCAACGCAAAAUCACUCUUACUACUAUGCACUGAGUAGGCAAUUGAAAAGUAAAGUCCUCUCUCGACGAAACAAAACCAAACUCUACAAAUCCCUCAUCAUUCCCGUCCUGAUUUAUGGUGCAGAAGCAUCGACGAUGGCAACAGCCGAUGAGACGGCACUAGGAGUUUUCGAGAGGAAAAUUUUGCGCAAGAUUUAUGAUCUUCAGAACAUUGGGAACGGCGAAUACCGCAGACGAUGGAACCAUGAGUUGUACGAAUUAUACUACGACAUUGACAUAGUUCAGCGAAUAUAAAGGCAGCAGCUACGCUGACUAGGUCAUGUUGUCCGAAUAGACGAAAACACUCCAGCCCUGAAAUUGUUCGAUGCAGUACCCGCCGAAGGAAGCCGAGGAAGGGGAAGGCCUCCACUCCGUUGAAGGGAACUGGUUACACUUGAGAUCUCCAACUGGCGCCGAAAGAGAGGAGUGGUGUGCUAUCAUCGAUUCGGCUAUAACCGGCUAAACGGUUUCUACCCCAAUCACAUACAUACAUACACAGCAGAAAAUUUGUAUGUAAGUUUCUGAAGAAGCUUCUGGAAAAGUUAAUUUCUUCAAUUGAACCGAAUGCUACGUUUUACAUAACUUCUUUAAAACUUAUUUGGCUCGCACUACAUGAUAACCUCUGCACCCCUUUAACCCUAAGUUGAUAUGUUUAUAUACAAACAAAUUUAUAAAAGCGAAAACUCAGAAAACUUAUACCCACAUUCACGCAUACAAUUGUAUAUACAUAAGUCUGUACUUAAAAAUUUGUUUUUGUAUUUAUUGUACAUACAUGCUCACUUAUGUAAAUACAAAUACAUAAAUUUAUUAUUUAAGUUAGUUUGUAAUCCAAUCGGUAAUGGUCUUUAACCCCCAUACCGCCAAUUGCUGCAGCACCAUACCAAUGGCGGACGUUGCCACCCGUUGUUACUCAGCGCUCCAAAAGCCAGAAGCAAAUAAAUAAACACAUACAUAUGCAUGUAUGUACAUACAGUUAUCGGUAUGUAAAUAAAAAUAAGAAGUGCCACAUAAAAUACGAAGCUUCAAACGAACGCGCACGAAGUAUUUGCCGAACACGUACGAGUAUAUAACGCUUCCGACCCACCUCUGUGUAGGUAUACCAAGCCACGAGCACAUAGCUGAGUUUGCAAGCUUCAGUGUACCGUACACCGCGACGCACCUUGCCACCAAACCCAGCAAACACAUACACGCACAUAGCGGUUGUUAUGUACGCCUCGCCCACUGCGCCACACUGUCUUCACGCUCCAACGCUCGAGCUCGAGCUGCAACGCCACUGUUGCUAGGUCAUUUAUUAUGCGCUGUGCGCCAUGAAUUUGCUGUUGGUAUUCGAGACGCCUCCGACUCCCCUCACCGUUGUUGUUUUUAUUUUUGUUGGUAUUGAAGCUAUACCGAGAAGUUAUCGCCAGCGAGAUUCGGGAGUGGCUGGAACACGGCUGGUGCUGGCUGCAAGGGGUUCGGGUGCCGAGGUGCUGGUGCUGCUGCAGCCAAAAGCGCAUUUAAUGCAGUCUUACAUACAAACGAAUAUUUGAGUACAUAUUUCUAUAUAGAAAAGUGCACCGAUGCCACUUUGGCCUGCAAGAGAUGCCAGCGCGGCAAGAACAAUUGCUGGAGACGACAGCACAUGACGGCAAGUACAUAGGGAUACAUACCGAAGUAUAUAUUAGUAUGUAUGCUGCCUGUUUGAGUAUAUAACAGACCCGCAAUGGGUGUUCGAUGAAUGUCAAACACACACACUUCGUGCUUGCUUGCCUGGAUGGAUGGAUGCUCCAUAAACGCGGCGCCGCAACCGCUAGCCAGGGAGUUGAAACUUUAAAUGCGUUAGGGGGCCAAAAGUCUUACUCCCCGGGGUUUUGUCAAAGGUACGAAUGUGACCGUGACGCCGUUAGUGCCAAUCUGCUUUUGUUGCUGUUGUUUUCAUUGUGCUGCAAGAUCCGCAGGUCACCAAAUGACACACAUGAACUAUGUAUGGCAAACGGGCGAGUCGCCGCAAAUGCAGGACGACACCGACAAUAACAAAUUAGCUAAAAGCGUUGCAACAACACAUAACCGGAAGGGAGCAUGUACAUAUUUGCCAAGUCGGAUGCCGAUUGCGCACGAAAGCCUUGCGCCAACACCACCUCCAUCGGCGCAUCCACCGAAGCUGGCUGUUCGGUCGCUAUGGGCGCCGGCAACCAAACGCUUGGAUGCCUGGUUUUAAUCUAAUUCCAAUUGAUUGAUUUUCUAAACUUUGCAGGCGCAGCAGCAGCAGCCCGGCAGUCGAGUCCCAGUGGCGGCCACCCGAAAAUAUGAUAUCACUCCAUCAAACCACAUGCCACGCGCACGAAAUGUGGAUCAUCAUUUUGUGGGCUGGUUGGCGAUGAUGGGGCGAUGUUGAAGUGCUGUUGAGCUGCCGGGCUGGGCAGGCCAGGCGGGUGUGGGAGUGAGUGCUAGGCUCGCUGCACUCGGUCUAGUUUCUAUGGGCACGACGUGCGCGUGUAUGUGUGCUCGUACCAAUUUUAUAUAUAAUGCAAUAAAACAUAGUGCGCAUAUAGUAAUUCCCGUUAUGCGUGUAUGUGCGCCGUUGCAUAUCGGAGGUAAUCUUCUAUAUGUAUCUGCAAACAAAUAUAUUGUACUCGUACAGUACGGACUUGUGUAAACUUUCCUAAGCACAUAAACUUUAGUAGUCUGUGUGUGUGUGUGUGACAACGCAUCAUAUUCAUAUAUGGGAUACGUGUAUGCGCAUAACAAAUUCAAUAAGUGCUUACAACAAAUACAUAGAUGCCCGUGUGUUUUCAUGUACAUAAUAGCGCUUUGGGGAGCUUGUACCAAGAUUUAAAUUUAAAGCGUUGGAAACGGGAAAUGUGUAUCUAAUUUGUAGAAGGGUGCCACAGAAUGGUUAUUUGGAUGCAUUUUUCGAUGGAACGUUCGCGAGAGCUUGUAGCUUGUAAUUCUCAUCGAAUUUAUGGAGCUAUUUAUAGGUAUGACCUACCCAUAUAGACCCUAGUAUAGUCCUAUAUAAGAAUUUUAAUAACUGCAGUCUAUAUUCUGUAUAAAAACAGAGAUGUCUACCGGCCAAAUGCUUCGAUAGUCACUUUUUUUUAAGAAUGUUUAGACAUAAACGGGGAAAUAUGUAUCUAAUUUGUAGAAAGGUGCCACAAAAUAUUUGAUAAAUUUCACUGCUUUCCUAUUACACUGAUGCAUUUUUCGAGGGAGCAUUUGAGAGAACUUAUAAUUCUCGUCCGGUUUAUGAUAACAUUUAUAGGUAUGGCCUAACCAUACUAUCUAAAAAGAUUUCUAGGCCACAAUAGUCUGUGCUCUGUAUAAAUGUAGAAAUGUCUCAAUAUAUUGACCAAUGUGGGGAUUAUCGCUUGUUUUAGAAUGUUUAGAAGAAAACGGAGAAUGUGUAUCUAAUUUGUAAAAGGAUGCCUCAAAAUGGUUAAUGCAAUACAUAUAUUUUACGUUAUUUCGAUGCAUUUUUUUGUGGAAACAUUUGUGAGAUAUUGUAAUUCUCACCCAGAUUAUGAAACU